UACGUAGGCAGCAAGCGUUGUUCGGAAUUACUGGGCGUAAAAGUGUGUAGAGCGGUGCUCUAAGUUCGGUGUGAAAUCUCCCGGCUUAACUGGGAGGGUGCGCCGGAAACUGGAGUGCUUGAGCGCGGGAGAGGAAAGCGGAAUUCCUGGUGUAGCGGUGAAAUGCGUAGAUAUCAGGAGGAACACCUGUGGUGUAGACGGCUUUCUGGACCGUAGCUGACGCUGAGACACGAAAAGCGUGGGUAGCAAACAGG
rnacentral:rRNA from 1 species